CUGGUAUAAAAAGGGGGAACAGGUGUUUCAGAACCCACACUCAUCCCUGACACACCCUGCCACAGGUCCAGACAACCCAGAGCAGAAUACAUCUUUAAUCUUCCAGUCAUGGCAAAGAUUUUCAAGAAGACCAGUGGAAACGGAGGGCUGACCCUCUACCUGGGAAAGAGAGACUAUGUGGACCACGUGUCCUCUGUGGAAAAACUCGAUGGUGUUGUGAAGGUGGACACUACAGACUUUGGAGACAGAAAAGCUUUCGUGCAGAUGGCCUGUGCCUUCCGUUAUGGAAGUGACGACCUGGAUGUGAUGGGCCUGUGCUUCAGGAAGGACAUCUGGAUCCAGCAGAUACAGAUUUACCCGGAAAGCAGCAAACCAGCGCUGAGCGCCAUGCAUGACACCUUACUGAAGAAAGCUGGAGACAAUUCCUACCCUUUCUCUUUCGAAAUUCCCACCAACUUGCCAUGCUCAGUUUCUCUGCAGCCUGGACCUGAUGACAAGGGAAAGGCUUGUGGAGUUGACUUUGAAGUGAAAACUUACCUUGCCAAGGAGAAGAACAACCCGGAUGAAAAGAUUGAUAAGAAGGAUACAGCUCGCCUCGUCGUCCGUAAAAUCCAGUAUGCCCCCUCUCAGGUCGGCGCUGGGCCCAAGGCAGACGUCUGCAAAAGCUUCAUGAUGUCUGACAAACCCGUUCACCUAGAGGCAUCCAUGGAGAAAGAUCUCUACUUUCAUGGUGAAGACAUCCCAAUUAAAAUUAAAAUCAAUAACGAGAGCAACAAAACAGUCAAGAAAAUUAAAAUCACUGUGGACCAAACCACUGACAUCGUCCUCUACUCAGCAGACAAAUAUACCAAGACUGUUCUUAACCAGGAGUUUGGGGAGACAGUAGAUGCAUCCAGCACUGCUGACCUUUGUUUGACCAUCAAGCCCGCUCUCUCCGAAAACAAGGAGAAGAGGGGUCUGGCUCUGGAUGGACGGCUGAAGGACGAGGACACAAACUUGGCCUCCACCACCAUGAUACGGCCAGGUGUAGAGAAAGAGGUGUUGGGCAUCUUGGUUUCCUACAAGAUUAAAAUUAACCUCAUGGUGGCCGGAGGAGGUCUGCUGGGUGGCCUUACUGCCAGUGAUGUAACAGUGGAACUGCCACUCAACCUUAUGCACCCAAAGCCCGCAGGUAACUUUCUGAAAACGCACACAUUAUUUUAGGACUUUUAGUUUACUUUCACUAAUGAUGUUUUCCAUUUUUCCUCAAAAUGUUUUUCAUGUAACCCAACCAAACUGAGCAGAGUAGGGACAACACACCUCUACCAGACGUUACCCUGCAGGAACAGGCACCAAAAAGAGAGCAAAGAAGAAAACAAAAGGGAUUUGCACAGAAGGAAAAGGAAGAAGAAAGUCAAUGUUUCCCUGAAAAAGCAAUGGACAAAAAAAUUUUACUUUUUAACAAAAAAAGACAAACUUUCAGUCCCCUUGCGUUCCUUUUGUUGCAAAGUCUUUGUAGUUGAACCAUGUCAGUUAGCUUUAGAGACUGUUUAUGAGCUCAAUUAAAGUAAAUGAGGUUGGAAGAUUCCCCACAGUUAAGUAGAUGUGCUAAAGUUCUUUUGUUUUUUUGUUUUUUGAAGGAUGCAGUAAAUAUUAAGCAUUUUCAUGAAGCCAUGCGAUUUAUGUUGCUUUUAAAUACUGUAAACAAAUGAAUCUGUUGAAUUAAACCAGAAUGGUAAAUUGGACUCACCACACACCUUCAUGAGCAAUAAAAUAAAAUUGUAAAAUGUA